GACGAACGCUGGCGGCGUGCUUAACACAUGCAAGUCGAACGGAAAGGCCCUGCUUUUGUGGGGUGCUCGAGUGGCGAACGGGUGAGUAACACGUGAGUAACCUGCCCUUGACUUUGGGAUAACUUCAGGAAACUGGGGCUAAUACCGGGUAGGAGCUCCUGCUGCAUGGUGGGGUUUGGAAAGUUUCGGCGGUUGGGGAUGGACUCGCGGCUUAUCAGCUUGUUGGUGGGGUAGUGGCUUACCAAGGCUUUGACGGGUAGCCGGCCUGAGAGGGUGACCGGCCACAUUGGGACUGAGAUACGGACCAGACUCCUACGGGAGGCAGCAGUGGGGAAUAUUGCACAAUGGGCGGAAGCCUGAUGCAGCAACGCCGCGUGCGGGAUGACGGCCUUCGGGUUGUAAACCGCUUUCGCCUGUGACGAAGCGUGAGUGACGGUAAUGGGUAAAGAAGCACCGGCUAACUACGUG
rnacentral:rRNA from 1 species